rnacentral:rRNA from 1 species
AGACGUCUACAUUAGACUACCCCGGUAGUCCCAGCCGUAAACUAUGCGCGUUAGGUGUAUCGGUGACCACGAGUUACCGAGGUGCCGAAGGGAAACCGUGAAACGUGCCGCCUGGGAAGUACGGUCGCAAGGCUAGAAACUUAAAGGAAUUGGCGGGGGAGCACAACAACGGGUGGAGCCUGCGGUUUAAUUGGACUCAACGCCGGGAAGCUCACCGGAUAAGACAGCGGAAUGAUUGCCGGGCUGAAGACUCUGCAUGACUAGCUG